ensembl:snoRNA
AGUCGGCCAGGAAAAAGAGACAUCUUGGUGGUGGUGGUGUUCUUAUAUCCGUCAGAGGCAGAGCAGAUGGCUGUCUUUGUUCAUCAUAGUUUGAAGCCUGGCUUGGUGGCCAAAGCUGUCAUAUGCCUAGGACUCACAA